rnacentral:tRNA from 1 species
CCUUCGAUAGCUCAGUGGUAGAGCGGAGGACUGUAGAUCCUUAUGUCGCUGGUUCGAUCCAGCUCGAAGUA